rnacentral:snRNA from 1 species
GUGCUCACUUCAGCAGCACAUAUACUAAAGUCAGAAUGAUACAGAGAAGAUUAACAUGGCCCUUGCUCAAAGAUGACACACAAAUUUGUGAAGCAUUACAUAUUUUA